ACGGAUAAAAUGACAGUCCACUUCAAUAUGCUUGGUACGUUAAUGAUAGACAGGAUUAGUAGCUAUAUGCAGAGCUGUCUGACUAUCACAAUACAAAUUCAUAGGUUCAGUAUGCGCCACACCAAGAGAAUUCAAUAAUCCUUUCAACCAUUUAAGUUCACAAGUUGUAGUACUCAUAGACCGAUAUUCAGCUUCAGCGGAUGAGCGAGACACUGUCUGUUGCUUUUUUAGUCUUCUACGAGAUAGGGGAUUCACCUAAAAGAACAAAAUAACCGGUCAAAGACCGUCUCGUCAAAGGACAGCUAGCCCAAUCAGAAUCACAGUAAGCAGACAAUUUGAGAUCACAAUUGGCAUGCAGUAGUAUACCCUGACCUGGAUUUCCUUUCAAAUAAUGCACAACUCUAACAGCUGCCUCCCAAUGAGCUUUCUUCGGUUGUUGUAUGAACUGAGAAAGAAUAUGCACACAAUAAGAUAACUCGGGCCGAGUUAUUAUUAGAUAAAUAAGCCGUCCCACCAGACGCCUAUACUGAGCAGGGUCAUCCACAUCAUCACUCUCGGUAAGGGCCAGCUUGUGAUUUUGUUCAAGAGGAGUUUUAGC
rnacentral:misc_RNA from 1 species